AACGCUGGCGGCGCGCUUAACACAUGCAAGUUGAGCGAGAACCGGGGCUUCGGCCCCGGGGACAGCGGCGAACGGGUGAGUAACACGUGGGUAAUCUGCCCUCGGUUCUGGGAUAGCCCGGGGAAACCCGGAUUAAUACCGGAUAGCCUCUCUGGCCUUUGGGCCGGCGAGAAAAGGUAGCUUCGGCCUCCGACCGAGGAUGAGCCCGCGGCGGAUUAGCUUGUUGGUGUGGUAACGGCUCACCAAGGCGACGAUCCGUAGCUGGUCUGAGAGGACGAUCAGCCACACUGGGACUGAGACACGGCCCAGACUCCUACGGGAGGCAGCAGUGGGGAAUCUUGCGCAAUGGGCGAAAGCCUGACGCAGCGACGCCGCGUGAGGGAAGAAGGCCUUCGGGUUGUAAACCUCUUUCAGGUGGGACGAAGCCACUCGGGUGAAUAGCCCAGAGGGUGACGGUACCUCCAGAAGAAGCCCCGGCUAACUACGUGCCAGCAGCCGCCGCCG
rnacentral:rRNA from 1 species